CCCACAAUCACGCCGUUCCCUCUCCUUCCUCUCUUUCUCCUCUGCGCCUGCCUCCCUCCCUCCCCAUCGACCCGCGCCUGCCUCCUCCCCAUCGGCCCCCUUCCCCCGUCGCUCAUCCUCUUGCGUCACCCGAAGGGGAGCCGCCGCUGCUCGGCCCUCUCCCCCUCGGCGUCGAGCGGCUCAUGGCGGUGCCGGAUCCGGUGUCGGGGUCGAGGGGCACGCAGGAUCCAGGCGUGACGGCUCAUUGGUGAGCGCGGUGGCCGCCAUGGACGAGCUCAAGCCGGGUCAUGUGGGCGCGUUGGUUAGCGCGGCGGCGGCCAUGGCCGAGCUCGAGCCCGGGUGCACCGGCGAGGGUACUAGGGGAUUUCACCGUGAUCUCCUCCUCGUCGUCGGUCAGUUGUCUUGCAGGUAGUUCAAGGGUGUGACCUCUUGGCCGUGCGGUUUGCUUGCCGUCACCUUGGCCGCCGGCAUGCCGUUGAAGAGUCCAGUAGUGUUCUUCCUCUUGCAGCGGAUAAGUUGUGGCUCUUCGGGGAUAGCUCACAUUGCUUAGUUGCGCAGAGAACUAGGAGAUCUCAUCUAACUAUCUUGGUUGAGCUUGUUCAAUUGACAAGGCGGUGGUAACUUCAGAAUUUCAUGAAUGAGAAUAUUGUUUAUAUUGUCAGAAGUUCACAUCAUGUGCCUUCCCUUCAGUUUUCACAUGAAACUAAUUUUUCUCCCAUGUUUAGAAUUUAUACAUACGGCAGGAAAGUACAGCUUAUCCAGAGACACCAAUUGGAAGAGGUACAGCAUAUGCAUUUCAAAGAGAACUGGACUCUGCUAUUUCUGAUUUCGCCAAGGACUCCAGUAAUAACCACAUUAUGAAAUGGGCGAUAAUCAGCGAUGCUAUUUACAUCAGUGAUGACGAAGGUAAGCACCGCCAUAAACGCCAACGUGCCAAAAAGACAAGGGGUCGAGCUCCAUGUAGCGAACCAUGUCUUUGUGAGAGGACCUUAACAAGAGAUUGUUCUUCACAAGUUAGACUGAACUCUUACGCAUAGGACCAAUAUGGUGCGAACUAUGGGGCAAACCAUCGCUCACUAUCCACAAGCGCAAGUUCAUGUGACGUGCCAUGUGAGAAGUCGAACGUGAAGACAAUCAAGUGAAGUUAUCAGAUAGUAUGCUUUAGUUGAACUGUAUAGAUGCGCUCUGACUUGAUUUUGUUGUCUAACUCUACUCUGUGUAUCUAACUUAAUGUGAAUUGAUCGUCCUGCCUUAGUUUUGGAACAAAGAAAUGUUUCUCUUUUAUUAUGAGCCUCCAGAUCAUUUGUUGUACUGAUUAAAUAUUUCCUACUCACCUUGCUUUUGGUAUACCCAACAUUGUUCUUGAUUUACUUUUGGAACACAAUAUA